rnacentral:sRNA from 1 species
GCCAGGUGCAGUGGCGCAUGCCUGUAAUCCCAGUGGCUCAGGAGGCUGAUGCAGGAGGAUUGUGAGUUCAAAGCCAACUUCAGUAAAAGCGAGGUGCUAAGCAACUUAGAUCCUGUCUCUU